UACUGGCUGAAAAGAUCCAUUCACAAGCAUUACCCGAAGGUGCACGUUUUCUUAUGCACAUGAGGAUGUCAAUGCAUGAUUCAGCAACGAGGCUGAAAACUGAGGAGGAAAUGAUGAUCCCAUUGAACUUCUUCUUAAAGUCAACAUGAUUAUUAACGUAAUUUAAUUAUGACAUUCACACCUU